rnacentral:lncRNA from 1 species
UCAGGGACACCGUUGGAUUCUAGUCUGUGAAAAUGGUACUCCCAAGCUUGUUUGUUGAGGUAGAGCCUACAUGUGCAGGCAGAAAAUCAGAAUCCCUGGGGCUUCUGGUGAUCUCUCUGUGCUUGAGUUACUAGAGGUGGAAAGACAUGGGGCUUGAGUGUCCUAAAACACAGCACCCAGGAGCAAUAACAGUGUUCUUAAGAAUACCUCCAGUGAACUACUAAUUUCUCACAUUUUUCAGAUUAAGAAACCAAGAAUCAAAAGCCACAUUUGCAAUUGAGGUACCAGUAUGCUGACUUGGCUGGUUGACAGUUGGGCCUUCCAAGGACACAUCCAUUAAUUUUAACAAGAAUGAACAUGAUUAAUUGUUGUCACUCUGGGGAGGGGUGCCUUAGCCCCUUGCUCCCAGGCUCAACAGCUCAGCAUGAAUAUGUUCUCCACCUACUUGGGGAAAGCAUGAUGCCAGGUUCUGAAAUAAUGAACUUGACCUAAUUCUAUCUCCACUGCAUGAAAAGAUGAUCUUAGAGAGGUUUUGUUUGUUUAUUUAAGGGCCUGUUGAUAAAUUAACAAGUGCAGAUUUACUAAGCCCUAUACAAAUGUGCAAGAACUCAGCCUGUGUUGGGAAAGUCCCCAAACUCAGGGCAGGUAGGAGAGCCUGAUCCAGCAUCUUGGCCCAGCAUCCUGAUGGAGUUACACUGGGAUCAAUGGCAGAGUCUUCUGGUGCCAAGCCUGCCUGAGGCACUCAAAGACAUCUGGUCACUCUUUUGAAAAGGCAGAGACUCAAAACAACAGGGAAAUUUAUUUAAAGGAGCAGGACGAGCUGCUCCAUGCUGCUGUUGGUUGAUCUCAGCAGAAUAUGUGUGUCAUCAAAGAUAGGCAGAGAACACCAAGAAGUAGACCCAAGCUUCCUGUCAACCACAUCUUUGCAUCUGGAGCAGGUUGAAUAGUAAGCCCUUAGGGUCUGCUAAGAACUCACCGAAAUGGGAAGGAAGCACACAGCAAUGUACCUAACAGCAAUGAUCCAUCAUGCCAAUAGGAAUCAGGGUAACCUCUGCCACCUGGGAUGCCCCAUGCAAUUUCAUUCCAGAGAUGUGCAGAGGAACACCUCUCCUGCAAGGACUUCAUCCAUGGGCAAAGGGGCAGCUUCAGGCUGAGACUGGCAGUCUGCCAUGUGAGAAUUUGGAUAUAAAAUUGGAGUGAUAGUUGAUCAAUGUAUAUUAUGGAUGACUGACAUCAC